CGACAGAUACUAUGAUUGGACCAAUAACAAGUUUUAAUUUAACAUUUCGCAUUUUGAUAUGCAUCUGUGUAUGGAUCUUUAAUUCCUUCACAGAGCCGUUUCGUGCGAUUACAUUU